CCUACGGGUGGCAGCAGUGGGGGAUAUUGGACAAUGGGGGAAACCCUGAUCCAGCGACGCCGCGUGAGUGAAGAAGUAUUUCGGUAUGUAAAGCUCUGUCAGCAGGGAAGCAAGAAAUGACGGUACCUGACCAAGAAGCCCCGGCUAACUACGUGCAACCAGCCGCGGUAAUCCGUAGGGGGCAAGCGUUAUCCGGAAUUACUGGGUGUAAAGGGAGCGUGGACGGUGAUGCAAGUCUGGAGUGAAAGGGGGGGGCCCAACCCCCUGACUGCUCUGGAAACUGGGUAACUUGAGUGCAGGAGAGGUAAGCGGAAUGCGUAGUGUAGCGGUGAAAUGCGUAGAUAUUAGGAGGAACACCAGUGGCGAAGGCAGCUUACCGGACUGUAACUGACGUUGAGGCUCGAAAGCGUGGGGAGCGAACAGGAUUAGAUACCCCGGUAGUC
rnacentral:rRNA from 1 species